UACGUAGGGAGCAAGCGUUUGUCCGGAAUUAUUGGGCGUAAAGAGCUUGUAGGCGGUUUGUCGCGUCUGCCGUGAAAUUUCGGGGCUCAACCCCGAACUUGCGGUGGGUACGGGCAGACUAGAGUGUGGUAGGGGAGACUGGAAUUCCUGGUGUAGCGGUGAAAUGCGCAGAUAUCAGGAGGAACACCGGUGGCGAAGGCGGGUCUCUGGGCCGUAACUGACGCUGAGGAGCGAAAGCGUGGGGAGCAAACAGG
rnacentral:rRNA from 1 species